rnacentral:rRNA from 1 species
AUUGAACGCUGGCGGCAUGCCUUACACAUGCAAGUCGAACGGCAGCACGGGAGCAAUCCUGGUGGCGAGUGGCGAACGGGUGAGUAAAGUAUCGGAACGUGCCCAGUCGUGGGGGAUAACGUAGCGAAAGUUACGCUAAUACAGCAUACGAUCUAUGGAUGAAAGCGGGGGAUCGCCAGACCUCGCGCGAUUGGAGCGGCCGAUGUCAGAUCAGGUAGUUGGUGGGGUAAAGGCUCACCAAGCCGACGAUCGUGAGCUGGUCUGAGAGGACGACCAGCCAAACUGGAAAUGAGACGCGGCCAAGACUCCAACGGGAGGCAGCAGGGGGGAAUUUUGGACAAUGGGCGAAGGCUUGAUCAAGCCAUGCCGCGUGAAGGAUGAAGGCCUUGGGGUUGUAAACUGCUUUUGUACGGAACGAAAAGGUUUGGCCUAAUAAGCUGGGCUCAUGACGGUACCGUAAGAAUAAGCACCGGCUAACUACGUGCCAGCCGCCGCCGUAA